GAUCCUGGCUCAGAUUGAACGCUGGCGGCAUGCUUUACACAUGCAAGUCGAACGGUAACAGGUUAAGCUGACGAGUGGCGAACGGGUGAGUAAUGCAUCGGAACGUGCCCAGUCGUGGGGGAUAACGCAGCGAAAGCUGUGCUAAUACCGCAUACGAUCUGCGGAUGAAAGCGGGGGACCUUAGGGCCUCGCGCGAUUGGAGCGGCCGAUGUCAGAUUAGGUAGUUGGUGGGGUAAAGGCUCACCAAGCCGACGAUCUGUAGCUGGUCUGAGAGGACGACCAGCCACACUGGGACUGAGACACGGCCCAGACUCCUACGGGAGGCAGCAGUGGGGAAUUUUGGACAAUGGGCGCAAGCCUGAUCCAGCAAUGCCGCGUGCAGGAAGAAGGCCUUCGGGUUGUAAACUGCUUUUGUACGGAGCGAAAAGGUCUUCCCUAAUACGGGAGGCUGAUGACGGUACCGUAAGAAUAAGCACCGGCUAACUACGUG
rnacentral:rRNA from 1 species